rnacentral:rRNA from 1 species
GAUGAACGCUGGCGGCGUGCCUAAUACAUGCAAGUCGAACGCUUCACUUCGGUGAAGAGUGGCGAACGGGUGAGUAAUACAUAAGUAACCUGGCAUCUACAGGGGGAUAACUGAUGGAAACGUCAGCUAAGACCGCAUAGGUGUAGAGAUCGCAUGAACUCUAUAUGAAAAGUGCUACGGGACUGGUAGAUGAUGGACUUAUGGCGCAUUAGCUUGUUGGUAGGGUAACGGCCUACCAAGGCGACGAUGCGUAGCCGACCUGAGAGGGUGACCGGCCACACUGGGACUGAGACACGGCCCAGACUCCUACGGGAGGCAGCAGUAGGGAAUUUUCGGCAAUGGGGGAAACCCUGACCGAGCAACGCCGCGUGAAGGAAGAAGUAAUUCGUUAUGUAAACUUCUGUCAUAGAGGAAGAACGGCGGAUAUAGGGAAUGAUAUCCGAGUGACGGUACUUUAUGAGAAAG